rnacentral:sRNA from 1 species
GGAGAGCAGAAGUCCCCACGAUUAGCCUGUGCAAGCUUGCUUGCUAAGGGCUAAUCGUGGGGACUUCUAUUCGGCGAGGCCGCCGAAGCGAGAUGAAGCAAAGCGGAAUCGAGCUUGCUCUCC